CUGGGAUGAUUAGUGGUGGUUUCUCAUUAGAGGUUUUUAAGCAUUGGGCUCCUUCUGAGAUGAAUCUUGUAACAUUGCCUGGAUAUUGUGUGGCUGGAACCAUAGGUCAUAAAUUGAUGUCGGGUAAACCCACUAAAAUUAAUUUGGACAAGGACACGCAAAUUGAUGUGCGAUGCCAGAUCCAUCAAUUGUCUUUCAGCCCCCAUACAGAUGCCAAAGGAAUUAUGGAUCUAGUUAAAUUUCUUUCUCCUAAGCACGUGAUAUUAGUACAUGGUGAAAAGCCUAAAAUGGCAUCUCUGAAAGAAAGAAUCCAGUCUGAAUUGGGAAUUCAAUGUUAUGUUCCUGCAAAUUGUGAUACUGUGUGCGUUCCUUCCACUGUCUUUGUAAAAGCACAUGCCUCAGAGAUGUUUUUCCAUAGUUGUUUGAGUCCUAAUUUCAGGUUUUUAAAUGAAAGUUCAGAAGAUACAUCUGAUUCAAUUUUAGAAAGGACGAAUGGCAAAUCUCGGUUUCAGGUAACUGAUGAAAGAGUUGCUGAGGGGAUCUUGGUUAUGGAGAAAAGCAAAAAGGCAAGGGUUGUGCAUCAAGAAGAGCUGCUGCUAAUGUUGGGAGAAAAACAGCAUGAGGUUCAGGUUGCUUAUUGUUGUCCUGUACAUGUUGACAACUUAGAUGAGGCUAGAAGAGAUCAUAUCUCAGCAGAUGAUGUACUUGGUCUCUCUAAUAAAUGCAGUUGGCUUCAGCAAUUAUUCACAGAACUAACAACUGAUUUUCC
rnacentral:misc_RNA from 1 species